rnacentral:lncRNA from 1 species
AUGCUCUACCAGAUCCUCAAUCAAGCCAAGAAGCAUCUGAGCAUGAUUCUCCUCUGAGUUUAUUGGAGAUGGAGGUACUGGAGCAGCACUGUAUGUUUUAUAUCCAGCAUUGUUCAAUCCAGAUGUUACUUGGGACAGAAAGAAUGACCCAGAGCCCUGGAACAAACUGGGUCCCAAUGAUCAAUACAAGCUCUACUCAGGUAAUGUGGAUUACAGCAAACCGAAGAAAGAAGGU